rnacentral:rRNA from 1 species
GACGAACGCUGGCGGCGUGCUUAACACAUGCAAGUCGAGCGGUAAGGCCUCUUUGGGGGUACACGAGCGGCGAACGGGUGAGUAACACGUGGGUGACCUGCCCUCAGCUCUGGGAUAAGCCUGGGAAACUGGGUCUAAUACCGGAUAUGACCUUUCCUCGCAUGGGGUUUGGUGGAAAGUUUUUUCGGCUGGGGAUGGGCCCGCGGCCUAUCAACUUGUUGGUGGGGUGAUUGCCUACCAAGGCGACGACGGGUAGCCGGCCUGGGAGGGCGACCGGCCACACUGGGACUGAGACACGGCCCAGACUCCUACGGGAGGCAGCAGUGGGGAAUAUUGCGCAAUGGGCGGAAGCCUGACGCAGCGACGCCGCGUGGGGGAUGACGGCCUUCGGGUUGUAAACCUCUUUCGACCCCGACGAAUUUGGACGGUAGGGGUAGAAGAAGCACCGGCCAACUACGUG